CUCGUAGGCGGUUCGUCGCGUCCGGUGUGAAAGUCCAUCGCUUAACGGUGGAUCCGCGCCGGGUACGGGCGGGCUUGAGUGCGGUAGGGGAGACUGGAAUUCCCGGUGUAACGGUGGAAAUGUGUAGAUAUCGGGAAGAACACCAAUGGCGAAGGCAGGUCUCUGGGCCGUUACUGACGCUGAGGAGCGAAAGCGUGGGGAGCGAACA
rnacentral:rRNA from 1 species